rnacentral:rRNA from 1 species
UACGUAGGGUGCAAGCGUUAAUCGGAAUUACUGGGCGUAAAGCGUGCGCAGGCGGUUCGCUAAGACAGAUGUGAAAUCCCCGGGCUUAACCUGGGAACUGCAUUUGUGACUGGCGGGCUAGAGUAUGGCAGAGGGGGGUAGAAUUCCACGUGAUAGCAGUGAAUGCGUAGAGAUGUGGAGGAAUACCGAUGGCGAAGCAGCCCCUGGGCCAAUACUGACGCUCAUGCA